UAAAAAUUUUUUUUUUUUUUUUUUUUUCCACUCUUGUAGGGGAAAAAAAAGAAGAAUUUUAAUUAUUUAUAAUGUUAGAUUUUUCGUAUUCCCGGGGCGCUUGUUUCACGCUUUUGCGUGUCAAUGCGCACCUAGAGCGUACACGAUGAUACCCGAAAGAUGGUGAACUAUGCCUGGCCAGGACGAAGCCAGGGGAAACCCUGGUGGAGGUCCGCAGCGAUUCUGACGUGCAAAUCGAUCGUCGGAGCUGGGUAUAGGGGCGAAAGACCAAUCGAACCAUCUAGUAGCUGGUUCCCUCUGAAGUUUCCCUCAGGAUAGCUUGCGCUCGGUUGAGAAGAGUCUCAUCCGGUAGAGCGAAUGAUUAGAGGCAUUGGGGUCGAAACGACCUCAACCUAUUCUCAAACUCCAAAUAGAUGAGAUCCCCGGCUUUCUUAAAAUGAAGCC
rnacentral:rRNA from 1 species